GCAUGCGUGUGUGUCUGCUGUUUAAUUCUAUUUUACCUCCUUAUUUGCAUGUAAUCUCUGGAGGAUGCUCCUUCUGAAAGAUGCUUUAAGGAACCGAACUACCGCAAAGGGGGAGGGGCCUCAGUCUGAGGUUCUGGUUCGUCUGGUCCAGUUCCAACAGUCCUUAAUUGUUUCCGCGGAGCUUUUCACCGCUAAGAAGAUGUUGAUUCAUAUUCCAGCAUGUGGUCAGUCAGUGAUGGGAUGGAUGUUCUAAAAGUGUUUUUAAAUACAACAUGCAGAAUGGAAGCUCUGAAAUGAGUUCUUACUGCAUUGCGUAACGAUGUUCUUCUUAGUUUUGGAUUUGAAAUAAGAAUGGAGAAAAGUGCUUAAGCCCCGCCCCCUCCCGCAGUUCUCAUUCCGAGCCUGCAGCACAGUGUGGGCGUGGCUCGGAGCUACAGGUGCCAGGUGUGUCCAGAAUUGGGCUUUGGGCCUCUUUUCUGCAUUUGCAGGUGUGUGACGGAACAGAGUCACUUCCACAGCCUCUGAUUCAAUCUGACAUCUUCAGAUUCAUUUCUGCACAUCUCUCUGUCAGUGCGGUGCUGCUCUGCCACCUGCAGCGCUUCUCUCCCAAACGGGAUCCAGCUGCUGUUUUGCGUCACUUUGUUUUCCAGGGUUCGGUUCUGUCUGGCGUCGCUGCUCGGCGGACGGGUGUCCGGGACCGACGGAUCACCGGAUGGAGGCGCGGCCCUGGUUCCAGUGGGAGCUGCUUGGGACUGCAGCACCCUUGGGUCAGGUGGUUCGGCAGAAUUUUUUAAUGACAUUGGGAGCUCUGGGUUCUCUGGGACUGUGGUUCUGGUUCUGGGUUCCUGUAUGCAGUGUGUUUCACAUCUUCUGGGGUUUUUACUUGUUUUCCAUUCAGUUCCAGCCAGCCUGGAGCCAGUGGAGGACGCUUCACUAAAGGAACAUUCCACUGCAUUUUUCACACUAAGACCACCUAGGACCAGGUCCUGUUCCAAAACCACAGGACCUGGACUGCUCAAACCAGCAUUAAAUUAUGAGUUAGAUGGAAGAGAAUGCAUUAAACACAGUUUCUGAUUUGUGAAA